UUUUUUUCUCCUCUGGCGCCACUUUACAUCAACGCUAUGGUAUUUGCAUCGGUAUCGGCGUCGCCCUUGUGCCUUUUGCAGCUUAUUAUUCUUCCUAGGGAGGUUAGCUGAGAGAUAGCUAAUAAGUGACAACAAGAGGCUGGAAGCGUGGCUUCGGAUCUGGUCGACUUGUACUUAUGCUGGUGUGCUGCGUAGUAUAGGUACAGCAUCAUCCAGCACGUCAGGUCAGUGUCAGACUACGGGCCCGGAGUGUAUGAUUCGAUUAGAGAAGUCGCUGGCGGCUUCAGUUUAAGUAAGAGAAGCUUCUAAUUCAGCUUUGGGAGUCGGUAGAGGAUGCCUGGCAACUGACUUUCGAUGCUUGCCGAUGAGGUUUUUCCCAUUAGAAUAUCAGCUGGGAGUUUAUCGCAUCUCCCUGGCCGGCAAGCUAGGCAGCCGUGUUUUGUUUCCACAGCUUCAAAGCGGGUUGCUUUCGAGCUGCCCCACGAAACAUCCAAUGUAUAUGUCCAUAUGGCAUGACAGCCUUGGAUCCUGGCGCGCCGGUGAAUGGCGAUUGGACCUUCGGCAUCGGCACGACGCCUGUCGCAGCAAGCAUUCAUUCAUGCUGUCAAAGCUGUCAGCGUUCACGCAGAGACAUCUGCUUCAAGUUUAUCAACAUGGGAUUCAAGAGCAUAUACCGGUAUCAUUCUUCGAGCUGGCAGCUGGCUGACGUGAAGACUGAGGCCGAAACUUCUGUCCCGUCCCGGUGCGCACCUGACCUGCAGAAGAGGCUGUGCUGUACGUGAGAUAGGUAGAGGGGUCGACGAUGACUCGAUGAGACAGACGGCUAGAAAUCUGGAACGCAAGGCACGACGGAGUACUGGCUUCAGAGGAUCCAUCCUUCCCCCAGUUGCUUUCGCCCGUCGCCAUGCAGCUCCAAUUUCCUUCUUGUAAGUUUCUUCUGAGCAGAUUGCUACUGGCAGCUUGGUCAGUCGUCCGCGACAGUGACACACCGUGCCUUUUCGAAUUUCUUGUGAUUUUGCACAGAGGGUGAGACUUUGACAAACCUGGGCACUGGACACGGCUUUCAAACCAAGAUCUUUUUUUUUUUGCCUGUCUCACUCGUCUCAGUGACGUUCAUUCACCUAAAAGCAGUCAACGAGGCAAGCAUACAGCAUUACUUAUGUAUGGAAGUUGGAAGGCCAUUCUGAUGAUUCCAUUAUUACCUCAGGUACUUGUUGAAACUUUUUUGUAACUUUCAGAUCAGACAGUGUAUUCUGAACAGUUACAAAGUUCUAAUUUUCCCGAAUUCAUAAUACCGAUA